UGAGCAAUCUGCCCUUCUCUUUGGAAUAAGCGUUGGAAACGACGUCUAAUGCCGAAUACGACCUCCUUUCGCAUGAUCGGAGGUGGAAAGCUCCGGCGGAGAAGGAUGAGCUCGCGGCCUAUCAGCUAGUUGGUGUGGGUAAUGGCCCACCAAGGCGACGACGGGUAGCCGGCCUGAGGAGGGCGACCGGCCACACUGGGACUGAGAUACCGGCCCAGACCUCCCGUACGGGGAGGCAGGACG
rnacentral:rRNA from 1 species